rnacentral:rRNA from 1 species
UGCGCGGAAGAUGUAACGGGGCUAAACCAUGCACCGAAGCUGCGGCAGCGACACUAUGUGUUGUUGGGUAGGGGAGCGUUCUGUAAGCCUGCGAAGGUGUGCUGUGAGGCAUGCUGGAGGUAUCAGAAGUGCGAAUGCUGACAUAAGUAACGAUAAAGCGGGUGAAAAGCCCGCUCGCCGGAAGACCAAGGGUUCCUGUCCAACGUUAAUCGGGGCAGGGUGAGUCGACCCCUAAGGCGAGGCCGAAAGGCGUAGUCGAUGGGAAACAGGUUAAUAUUCCUGUACUUGGUGUUACUGCGAAGGGGGGACGGAGAAGGCUAUGUUAGCCGGGCGACGGUUGUCCCGGUUUAAGCAUGUAGGCUGAUUGUCCAGGCAAAUCCGGAUAAUCAAGGCUGAGGUGUGAUGACGAGGCACUACGGUGCUGAAGUAACAAAUGCCCUGCUUCCAGGAAAAGCCUCUAAGCAUCAGGUAACAUCAAAUCGUACCCCAAACCGACACAGGUGGUCAGGUAGAGAAUACCAAGGCGCUUGAGAGAACUCGGGUGAAGGAACUAGGCAAAAUGGUGCCGUAACUUCGGGAGAAGGCACGCUGGUGUGUAGGUGAAGUCCCUGCGGAUGGAGCUGAGACCAGUCGAAGAUACCAGCUGGCUGCAACUGUUUAUUAAAAACACAGCACUGUGCAAACACGAAAGUGGACGUAUACGGUGUGACGCCUGCCCGGUGCCGGAAGGUUAAUUGAUGGGGUUAUCCGUAAGGAGAAGCUCUUGAUCGAAGCCCCGGUAAACGGCGGCCGUAACUAUAACGGUCCUAAGGUAGCGAAAUUCCUUGUCGGGUAAGUUCCGACCUGCACGAAUGGCGUAAUGAUGGCCAGGCUGUCUCCACCCGAGACUCAGUGAAAUUGAACUCGCUGUGAAGAUGCAGUGUACCCGCGGCAAGACGGAAAGACCCCGUGAACCUUUACUAUAGCUUGACACUGAACAUUGAGCCUUGAUGUGUAGGAUAGGUGGGAGGCUUUGAAGCGUGGACGCCAGUCUGCGUGGAGCCAACCUUGAAAUACCACCCUUUAAUGUUUGAUGUUCUAACGUUGGCCCCUGACCGGGGUUGCGGACAGUGUCUGGUGGGUAGUUUGACUGGGGCGGUCUCCUCCCAAAGCGUAACGGAGGAGCACGAAGGUUAGCUAAUCCUGGUCGGACAUCAGGAGGUUAGUGCAAUGGCAUAAGCUAGCUUGACUGCGAGCGUGACGGCGCGAGCAGGUGCGAAAGCAGGUCAUAGUGAUCCGGUGGUUCUGAAUGGAAGGGCCAUCGCUCAACGGAUAAAAGGUACUCCGGGGAUAACAGGCUGAUACCGCCCAAGAGUUCAUAUCGACGGCGGUGUUUGGCACCUCGAUGUCGGCUCAUCACAUCCUGGGGCUGAAGUAGGUCCCAAGGGUAUGGCUGUUCGCCAUUUAAAGUGGUACGCGAGCUGGGUUUAGAACGUCGUGAGACAGUUCGGUCCCUAUCUGCCGUGGGCGCUGGAGAAUUGAGGGGGGCUGCUCCUAGUACGAGAGGACCGGAGUGGACGCAUCACUGGUGUUCGGGUUGUCAUGCCAAUGGCA